GAUGAACGCUAGCGAUAGGCUUAACACAUGCAAGUCGAGGGGUAACGUGUUGGAAGCUUGCUUCCGAUGACGACGACCGGCGGAUGGGUGCGUAACGCGUAUGCAACUUGCAUCACAGUGGAGAAUAACCCGGAGAAAUCCGGACUAAUACUCCAUACACUCUUAAGUACGCCUGUACAUGAGAGGAAAGAUUUAUCGCUGUGAGAUAGGCAUGCGUCCUAUUAGGUAGUUGGUGAGGUAACGGCUCACCAAGCCGACGAUAGGUAGGGGUGCUGAGAGGCAGAUCCCCCACAGAGUGACAGAGACACGGCACAAACACCGGCGGGAGGCAGCAGUGAUGAAUAUUGGUCAAUGGAAGAAACUCUGAACCAGCCAAGUCGCGUGAAGGAAGAAUGUGCUAUGGAUUGUGAACUUCUUUAGCAAGAGAGUAAGGACGUCCACGUGAGGGGAGUUUGAAAGUACCUCAAGAAUAAGUAUCGGCUAACUCCGUG
rnacentral:rRNA from 1 species